GAUGAACGCUGGCGGCGUGCCUAAUACAUGCAAGUCGAGCGAACAGACGAGGAGCUUGCUCCUCUGACGUUAGCGGCGGACGGGUGAGUAACACGUGGAUAACCUACCUAUAAGACUGGGAUAACUUCGGGAAACCGGAGCUAAUACCGGAUAAUAUAUUGAACCGCAUGGUUCAAUAGUGAAAGACGGUUUUGCUGUCACUUAUAGAUGGAUCCGCGCCGCAUUAGCUAGUUGGUAAGGUAACGGCUUAACAAGGCAACGAUGCGUAGCCGACCUGAGAGGGUGAUCGGACACACUGGAACUGAGACACGGUCCAGACUCCUACGGGAGGCAGCAGUAGGGAAUCUUCCGCAAUGGGCGAAAGCCUGACGGAGCAACGCCGCGUGAGUGAUGAAGGUCUUCGGAUCGUAAAACUCUGUUAUUAGGGAAGAACAAAUGUGUAAGUAACUAUGCACGUCUUGACGGUACCUAAUCAGAAAGCCACGGCUAACUACGUG
rnacentral:rRNA from 1 species